UACAGAGGUCUCAAGCGUUGUUCGGAUUCAUUGGGCGUAAAGGGUGCGUAGGUGGCGGGGUAAGUCAGGUGUGAAAUUUCGGAGCUCAACUCCGAAACUGCAUUUGAUACUGCCUUGCUUGAGGACUGGAGAGGAGAUUGGAAUUCACGGUGUAGCAGUGAAAUGCGUAGAGAUCGUGAGGAAGACCAGUGGCGAAGGCGGAUCUCUGGACAGUUCCUGACACUGAGGCACGAAGGCCAGGGGAGCAAACGGG
rnacentral:rRNA from 1 species